rfam:Triticum aestivum genome assembly, contig: Triticum_aestivum_CS42_TGACv1_scaffold_393939_5AS
AAAAUACUCCCUCUGUCUAAAAAUACUUGUCAGCGAAAUGGAUGUAUCUAGACAUAUUUUAGUUCUUAGAUACAUUUAUUUUUAUUCAUUUAUGCGACAAGUACUUCCAGACGGAUGUAGUAGUUG